rnacentral:rRNA from 1 species
GACAGAGGGUGCAAACGUUGUUCGGAAUUACUGGGCGUAAAGCGUGUGUAGGCGGCUAUGUAAGUCGGAUGUGAAAGCCCUGGGCUCAACCCAGGAAGUGCACUCGAUACUGCGUAGCUUGAGUACCGGAGAGGUUGGUGGAAUUCUCGGUGUAGAGGUGAAAUUCGUAGAUAUCGAGAGGAACACCGGUGGCGAAGGCGAUCAUCUGGGGUUGUUCUG